UACGUAGGGACCAAGCGUUGUUCGGAUUUACUGGGCGUAAAGGGCGCGUAGGCGGCAUGACAAGUCACUUGUGAAAUCUCCGGGCUUAACUCGGAACGGCCAAGUGAUACUGUCAAGCUAGAGUGCAGAAAGGGCAAUCGGAAUUCUUGGUGUAGCGGUGAAAUGCGUAGAUAUCAAGAGGAACACCUGAGGCGAAGGCGGGCUGCUAGGCUGACACUGACGCUGACAGCGCGAAAGCCAGGGGAGCAAACGGG
rnacentral:rRNA from 1 species